rnacentral:rRNA from 1 species
CUCAUCAGCAAGAUGGGCAGCGCACGGCUGAGUAGCGCGUGGCUAACCUACCCUGCGGACAGGAAUACCUCCGGGAAACUGGAGUUAAAUCCUGAUAGAUAAGGAAACCUGGAACGGUUCCUUAUCAAAACAUUAAUGAGUAAUGCUCUCAUUAACACCACAGGAUGGGGCUGCGAUCCAUCAGGUUGUUGGGGAGAUAAAGGCUCCCCAAGCCUAUAACGGAUAGGGGCUGUGGGAGCAGGAGCCCCCAGAUGGGUACUGAGACAAGGACCCAGGCCCUACGGGGCGCACCAGGCGCGGAACGUCCACAAUGCGCGAAAGCGUGAUGGCGCUAUCCCAAGUGCCUCCAUUUGGAGGCUUUUUGCCGCUUUAGAAUGGUGGCAGAAUAAGCGGGGGGCAAGACUGGUGUCAGCCGCCGCGGUAAUACCAGCCCCGCGAGUGGUCUGGACGAUUACUGGGCCUAAAGCGCCCGUAGCCGGUCUAAUAAGUCUGCGUCUAAAGGUCUGAACUCAAUUCAGAUUACGGCGUGGAAACUAUUAGGCUAGGGGGCGAGAAAGGCCGGAGGUACUUCAGGAGUAGGGGCGAAAUCCGUAGAUACCUGAAGGACCACCAGUGGCGAAGGCGUCCGGCUAGAGCGCGCCCGACGGUGAGGGGCGAGAGCCAGGGCAGCAAAGCGGAUU